rnacentral:misc_RNA from 1 species
AAUUCUCAAUCUUUAAUACUUUUGUAUUGAAGGCUUGGACUUGGAGGUUUGUGCUGGCUCUCUUGCUUGGUCGGCUCCUCUAAAAUGCAUUAGCGUGAAUAUUAUGGAUCGCUUUGGUGUGAUAAUUAUCUGCGCCGUAGUCGUGAAGUAUAUUUAUUUAUGUUUGCGCUUCUAAUCGUCCUGCAUUGGACAACUACUUUGAC